AAAGUGUGGGAUAGAGGAGUGGACAGUAAGGUAGGCUGGGAACUGGCUGACUGGCUGAGCUCAGAGGGUUUUAUUGAUCGGCAACGUCAGUGUGCCCUACACCAUGCCUCUGCCACCUCGCUGGAGCAGUUUGUGUGUUCCUAUCGUAAAAACCUGGCUCUUGGAGGGCCGGGGGGCAAGGCGAGGCAGAGCUGGAGGUGGUGUCAGGGAGGCCUCAGCUCUGGGAGGCCAGCACCGCCCUGCAGCCUCCUGGCGCCCACCGGGUGCCACAGCUCCAUGCUGCCUAGCAACAAGCGCAAGCGGCCUCGCUAUUGGCUGCACCCAGAGGCGCCAAGGCAGGCGGCCAAUGCGGCGGCGCCUGACUGUGAGGGAGCAGUGGUGUCACAGGGCAGGGUGGGUGACAUGGUGCUGGGUGUGCUGGGGAUGCAGCACUCCAGUGAUGGCAACGCACAGGCGAGGCGCGGCCGGUGGGCUGCUUGUGGCCCCUGAGGAGCCCUGAGGAGUGCUUCUGUGUGCAGCUUUUGGUGUUUUCUUCAUUGCGGCCCAUGAGGAGUUCUUCAUCAUGCAACUUUUGGGGAUCUCUUCACCACGUUUUCCCUGAGGAGAGCUUCAUCGUCCAGCUUUUGGUGUUUCUUCACUGCAGCCUCUGAGGAAUGCUUUGUUGGGCAGCUUUGGUGUUUUCUUCACUACGGCCCUGAGGAGUUCUUCAUCGUUCACCUUAUGGGGGUUUUCCCCACACCACGUUUCCCCUGAAGAGGGCUUCAGCAUUCAGCUCUUCGUGUUUUCUUCACUAUGGCACUUGAGGAGUAAUUCUUCGUGGAGCUUUUUGUUUUUUCUUCUCCUUGUUGCCCUGAGGAGUGCUUCUGUGUGCAGCUUUUGGUGUUGUCUUCACUACGGCCCUGAGGAGUUCUUCAUCAUCGAUCUUUUGGGGUUCUCUUCACUUCAGCCCCUUAGGUUUGCUUUGUCGAGCAGCGUUUGGUAUUUUCUUCACUGCAGCCCUUGAGGAGUUCUACAUUGUCCAGCUUUUGGGGUUCUCUUCACCACGUUGACCCUGAGGAGUGCUUCAUCGUGCAGCUUUGGGUGUUUUCUUCACUGCGGCCCUGUGGAGUUCUGCAUCUUCCAGGUUUUUGGGGUUUUUCCCAAACCACGUUUCCCCUGAAGAGGGCUUCAUCAUUCAGCUCUUUGUGUUUUCUUCACUAUGGCACUUGAGGAUUAAUUCUUCGUGGAGCUUUUCGUCUUUUCUCCUUGUGGCCCCUGAGGAGUGCUUCUGCGUGCAGCUUUUGGUGUUUUCUUCACUAUGGCCCUGAGGAGUUCUUCACCAUUCAACUUUUGGGGUUCUCUUCACUUCGGCUACUGAGGAGUUCCUCAUCGUGCAGCGUUUGGCAUUUUCUUCACAGCGGCCCUGAGGAGUUCUGCACCAUCCAGCUUUUGGGGUUCUCCUCACCAUGGUUUCUCUGAGGAGAGCUUCAUCAUGCAGCUUUUGGUGUUGUUUUCACCUUGUUGCCCCUGACAAGUGCUUCAUCUUUUAACUUUUGGUGUUUUUCUCUCAUUCCAGGCCCUGAGGAGUUUUUCAUCAUGCAGCUAUUUGUAUUCUCUUCACUUUGGCCCUUGAGGACUUCUUCAUCGUGCAGCUUUGGGUGUUUUCUUCACUGCGGCCCCUGAGGACUUCUUCACUGUGCAGCUUUGGGUGUUUUUUUCACUGUGGCCCUUUUUGGCAUCUGCCAUGUCUGCAGCCAGACCGACAGCUCAGCUGCAUGAAGUGUGAAGAAGGACAUUCUUCUGUUUGUUUUCAAUCUGCCAACCGAUCCUUUCAUGUAGAGCUCUUUCUUUUUUGUA